rnacentral:rRNA from 1 species
UACGUAGGGUGCGAGCGUUGUCCGGAAUUACUGGGCGUAAAGAGCUCGUAGGUGGUUUGUCGCGUUGUUCGUGAAAACUCACAGCUUAACUGUGGGCGUGCGGGCGAUACGGGCAGACUGGAGUACUGCAGGGGAGACUGGAAUUCCUGGUAUAGCGGUGGAAUGCGCAGAUAUCAGGAGGAACACCGGUGGCGAAGGCGGGUCUCUGGGCAGUAACUGACGCUGAGGAGCGAAAGCGUGGGGAGCGAACAGG